rnacentral:lncRNA from 1 species
AUGAAAACGCUGAGCUAUUUGAAGCUGAAAAGAUGGAGAAAAUGAUUCAGAUUCACAGAGAAACCAAUCUCCUGCUUGCAAUUUUAUGCCUAGGCAAACUCAAUCAAAUAUAAAUGGAAAAUGAAGAAUAACAACAAGUUCAUACCUGUUGACUGCCAAAACCACAUCUUCAAGCCCUUGCUCAGAUGGUAACUAAUGCUUUUCAGUUUCCCUGUGAAAUAUGGAGACAUGUAAGCCAGAGAAUUUGACUUCAACUGAGGAAGAGAAAAUGGAAUUCUUAGACUGUUGGCUUCUGAGAUCUAAAAUUUGCUCCUCAUGCUUGAAAGGCAAGCAUUUAUGACUGCGUUGCCACUCCAGCCCCAAUUUGUAUCUUAAAGUUGUAAAAUCUAAUUUUGAAGAAAUCAGAAAGACAUUGUCUACUGAGUAGCUCCCCUCAGGAUGAUUUUUUCCCCCUGCUGGCUCCCUUUUUCUUCAUUAUUUUAAUGGCUACAUCUUUGCUCUGAUGUGUCAAUGGAAGUGGAAAAUCCAGUGAAGCCAGAGCUUAGAGAAACGCCAGCUGGAACAGAAGGAUAAAGUUUCUUUGGAGAAGCUUCAAAGAGAUGCGGGCUGGGUGAUUGAAAACUUGUUGCUCUUCAGGAUCAUAUCAUGACAUCUAAGCUACAUAGAAGGUAGGAGGAACAGAAACGAGGGAAAACACAAAGAACAACUAUCUCUCAGCUGGAGAAUGAUUUUUCUCUGUGACUUUGAGCAAACUUCUGUAUUUCCUUUUAUUCUUGGUAUUUAAAAUUGGAAUUAAACUCCUUUUGCAACUUA